UACAGAGGGGGCAAGCGUUGUUCGGAAUUACUGGGCGUAAAGGGCGCGUAGGCGGCCUGUUAAGUCGAACGUGAAAUCCCCGGGCUCAACCCGGGAACUGCGUCCGAUACUGGCAUGCUUGAAUUCGGGAGAGGGAUGUGGAAUUCCAGGUGUAGCGGUGAAAUGCGUAGAUAUCUUGAGGAAGACCAGUGGCGAAGGCGGCAUCCUGGACCGAUAUUGACGCUGAUGCGCAAAAGCCAGGGGAGCAAACGGG
rnacentral:rRNA from 1 species